rnacentral:rRNA from 1 species
UACGGAGGGUGCAAGCGUUACUCGGAAUCACUGGGCGUAAAGGAUGCGUAGGCUGUGAUAUAAGUCAGAAGUGAAAUCCAACGGCUUAACCGUUGAACUGCUUUUGAAACUGUUUCACUAGAAUAUGGGAGAGGUAGAUGGAAUUGGUGGUGUAGGGGUAAAAUCCGUAGAUAUCACCAGGAAUACCGAUUGCGAAGGCGAUCUACUGGAACAUUAUUGACGCUGAGGCAUGAAAAGCGUGGGGAGCAAACAGGAUUAGAUACCCCCGUAGU